UGCCUUAGUAACGGCGAGUGAAGCGGCAACAGCUCAAAUUUGAAAGCUGGCCCUUUCAGGGUCCGCGUUGUAAUUUGUAGAGGAUGAUUCGGCGAGGGCUCCCGCCUAAGUCCCCUGGAACGGGGCGUCAUAGAGGGUGAGAAUCCCGUAUGCGGUGGGCUGCCUUAGCCAUGUGAAUCUCCUUCGACGAGUCGAGUUGUUUGGGAAUGCAGCUCUAAAUGGGAGGUAAAUUUCUUCUAAAGCUAAAUACCGGCCAGAGACCGAUAGCGCACAAGUAGAGUGAUCGAAAGAUGAAAAGCACUUUGGAAAGAGAGUUAAAAAGUACGUGAAAUUGUUGAAAGGGAAGCGCUUGCAACCAGACUUGUCCGCAGUUGCUCAGCCGGUCUCCUGACCGGCGUACUCUUCUGCGGCCAGGCCAGCAUCAGUUCGGGCGGUCGGAUAAAGACCUCGGGAAUGUGGCUCCUCUCGGGGAGUGUUAUAGCCCGGGGUGGAAUGCGGCCAGCCUGGACUGAGGAUCUCGCUUCGGCAAGGAUGCUGGCGUAAUGGUUGUAAGCGGCCCGUCUUGAAACACGGACCAAGGAGUCUAACAUCUAUGCGAGUGU
rnacentral:rRNA from 1 species